GAGCCGCAUCGCGUGAUACUGACCGCUUCGUUCUUCCAGCGUGUUUUGGCCAAAGCUGAACGACACGUCGAUCUCGCGCACCUCGACCCCAUUUUUGCGCGCAUCGCCGACGAUCUGCGCCGGGGCAUAGAAUCCCAUCGGCUGCGAGUUUAAUAAUCCGCAGCAGAAUACAUCGGGAUGAUAGUGCUUGAGCCAUGACGAGACAUAGACAAGCUGCGCGA
rnacentral:misc_RNA from 1 species